rnacentral:rRNA from 1 species
UACGUAGGCAGCGAGCGUUGUUCGGAGUUACUGGGCGUAAAGCGUGCGUAGGCGGUGUCUUAAGUUUGUUGUGAAAUCUCCCGGCUUAACCGGGAGGGUGCGGCGAAUACUGAGAUGCUGGAGUGCGGGAGAGGUAAGCGGAAUUCCUGGUGUAGCGGUGAAAUGCGUAGAUAUCAGGAGGAACACCUGCGGUGUAGACGGCUUACUGGACCGUAACUGACGCUGAGGCACGAAAGCGUGGGUAGCAAACAGGAUUAGAAACCCCCGUAGUCC